CGAUAUUCAGCGUCCCAAGUUCUUACCUACCAAACGGCACGGGCCAGGAGCGUGUCUUUUCAUGACUUACCGGCACAAUCCUGUCAGCUCUUUCCAGAAUCACGACUUCGAACCCC